GUGUCCCUGGUGUAACGGUAGCAUGACUGGUUCCAACCCAGUUGGUCAGGGUUCAAAUCCUUGGGGGCAUG
rnacentral:tRNA from 1 species